rnacentral:rRNA from 1 species
UGAACGCUGGCGGCAUGCCUUACACAUGCAAGUCGAACGGCAGCACGGGUGCUUGCACCUGGUGGCGAGUGGCGAACGGGUGAGUAAUACAUCGGAACAUGUCCUGUAGUGGGGGAUAGCCCGGCGAAAGCCGGAUUAAUACCGCAUACGAUCUACGGAUGAAAGCGGGGGACCUUCGGGCCUCGCGCUAUAGGGUUGGCCGAUGGCUGAUUAGCUAGUUGGUGGGGUAAAGGCCUACCAAGGCGACGAUCAGUAGCUGGUCUGAGAGGACGACCAGCCACACUGGGACUGAGACACGGCCCAGACUCCUACGGGAGGCAGCAGUGGGGAAUUUUGGACAAUGGGCGAAAGCCUGAUCCAGCAAUGCCGCGUGUGUGAAGAAGGCCUUCGGGUUGUAAAGCACUUUUGUCCGGAAAGAAAUCCUUGGCUCUAAUACAGUCGGGGGAUGACGGUACCGGAAGAAUAAGCACCGGCUAACUACGUGCCAGCAGCCGCGGUAAUACGUAGGGUGCGAGCGUUAAUCGGAAUUACUGGGCGUAAAGCGUGCGCAGGCGGUUUGCUAAGACCGAUGUGAAAUCCCCGGGCUCAACCUGGGAACUGCAUUGGUGACUGGCAGGCUAGAGUAUGGCAGAGGGGGGUAGAAUUCCACGUGUAGCAGUGAAAUGCGUAGAGAUGUGGAGGAAUACCGAUGGCGAAGGCAGCCCCCUGGGCCAAUACUGACGCUCAUGCACGAAAGCGUGGGGGGAGCAAACAGGAUUAGAUACCCUGGUAGUCCACGCCCUAAACGAUGUCAACUAGUUGUUGGGGAUUCAUUUCCUUAGUAACGUAGCUAACGCGUGAAGUUGACCGCCUGGGGAGUACGGUCGCAAGAUUAAAACUCAAAGGAAUUGACGGGGACCCGCACAAGCGGUGGAUGAUGUGGAUUAAUUCGAUGCAACGCGAAAAACCUUACCUACCCUUGACAUGGUCGGAAUCCCGCUGAGAGGUGGGAGUGCUCGAAAGAGAACCGGCGCACAGGUGCUGCAUGGCUGUCGUCAGCUCGUGUCGUGAGAUGUUGGGUUAAGUCCCGCAACGAGCGCAACCCUUGUCCUUAGUUGCUACGCAAGAGCACUCUAAGGAGACUGCCGGUGACAAACCGGAGGAAGGUGGGGAUGACGUCAAGUCCUCAUGGCCCUUAUGGGUAGGGCUUCACACGUCAUACAAUGGUCGGAACAGAGGGUUGCCAACCCGCGAGGGGGAGCUAAUCCCAGAAAACCGAUCGUAGUCCGGAUUGCACUCUGCAACUCGAGUGCAUGAAGCUGGAAUCGCUAGUAAUCGCGGAUCAGCAUGCCGCGGUGAAUACGUUCCCGGGUCUUGUACACACCGC